AGGACACAUAUGAAGAAAAUCAGUCUCAAAAUAGCAUUUUGGAGUAUUUCUUUAUUCAAAUUGUUGAGAAUGAAAAAAAAUGCCUUUUGAAAAAAAUUGUAUCCAUGAUGUUGGGCGGAGCCACACUCUGCUCUGAGCUCUCACCGACGGGGAGGGGAAAGGGGGGCGGAGUUGCUUUGCACCAACAGUCCCGCGCACAACUUGGAGAAUUUAUGAAGUCACUUUCAAAAGAUGCUCAGUUGAACAUCCAAAAGUUUCAACCCACUAAAUUCAAAUAUAAUUUUAUGGUCAUUGUGAACAAAACACAAUCAAAGGAAAAGUCACUCAAGUAAAAAGGAUUUGUGUGCAUCAGACUGAACAGCUGUGAACCACCAUGAGGUCUCUUUGAAUCUGCUGUGGGAGGAGUCAAAGAGCUUCUUCAGGCAGAGAGGGGAGGAGCCAGUGAUCUUCUGAUCCGAUGUUUUAGCCUCAACUGCUUGAUGAUGCGUGUUUGUGUUUUGUUGAAUCUGAGCUGCACAUCUGUGCACGUCUGAGGCCAAACGUCAAGCCCACAACUUUGGUUUCAUUUCCUCUCCCCUCUGUUUCCUCUGCCAAAGAAAACAGCAGCUCAUAACGUCGGAGGUCUGGUUCAGCCACAGUUAUGUUCUAACGAGUCAUGGGAUCCUUCAUGGAAAGGUCUGCAGGUCUUUAUUCGCUCUCGGUGAAUCACAGUGUUUUUGCAGCAGGUGCCAUUCUUCCAGCCGAACAGCAGUUAAAUCGUUCAUUUGUCUCUUCCUGAAGUGACUGGAUUUAUGGCUCACAGACACGAGGAACACGAUCUCUGAGAGUUCUGAGUCGGACCUCUACACCAAAGUUGGAUUUAAUCAUUUUUAUUUAUCAACUUUUAUUGUUUAUAAAAUAGUAAAUGUAAAGUCUUUUAGGACUUCAAUUGUGACCACAAACCUGUUGAACUAAAGGAGACUGUAAUUUCAAAGACUCUUUUGUCUGAACGUAAGAACUUUGAUUCAUCUCUAUGACAACUUUUGUUUCUAAUUGAAAUAAAAAGUAUUUUAAAAGUCUUAAUAACUUUAAUGAUAUAGUCAAACUUCCUGACCGCACAAAUGUGAUUUCUAAAAAUCUGUGCAGAAAUCUCCGAUUGGACUAAAAUGUUGUGCUGUUUGCUUUUACAAAAACACAUUUUGAAUGUUUCAUCUAUUUCUUUCCAUUUUAAGAAACUACAACAAAUCUGAUUCUGUAAAACAUAGAGAACAAUUUUAACAAUUUUAAUGCAUUUAAAGUGCUCUUUUGUAACGGAACUUUCCGUUCUGUGUCCUUAUUGGCUGUAGACUG